rnacentral:rRNA from 1 species
AUGGCCAGUUCCUCAUUCCAAUUGAGUUUAUAUUGUGUAGGUUUCUUCGUCGUGAUCUGGAUUGCCGCAGUCAUGUUCAAGUCCAAUGAUAUCUUGCGCAAGCAGACCUCUCUCAAGGCCACCGCUGUGGUAGUGCCCAUGUCUCUUCUCCAGUCAGUCACAUCGUGCUAUGAUGCACACAUCCUCAAGUCUGGGAAGCAACCCUGCUCACUCUUACAUAAUGCCAAUUCGUGUCAAGAGCCCUUCGCUGGCAACUCACUGGAUGUAGAAACCCAAGUGGACGCAGCCGUUGAGCCCUAA